rnacentral:lncRNA from 1 species
CCACAGCCUGCCCAGCACAGAAUCACGUGCCCACCAACUUUUCUUCCUCCAUAUCUUACAUUAAGAGGAAGAAGGGGCCAGAGCAGUGGGGCAGGAGAAGCCAGGCUUGGUGGUCGACUUGAGGUAUAUAAACAGAGUUUACCAAAUAGUGAAAUAGCCAUUGCCACUGCAGGUGAGCAAGGAAGACCUUCAAAGGUCGACCAAAAGCAACCAGGCGGCCCUCCCCACCAUGCCUCAUGAGAGGAUACCACCUCUUCCUUUGCGCAGAGCAUUUGGGAAAUAAAAGUACACAUAGAAGAAAUCUCAGAUUGCCCCACGAUCUCAGAAUCCACAGCUGCCAGUUUGAGAGCCUCCCUGCCCAUAGAGGAAGGACAAACCAACCUGCGUGUGUGAACUGCCUUCUUCUCCCUAGAGACCAGCACUUUCUCAACACCAGCACAUGGUACUUGGUCCUGGGGCUGGCUGGGUCCUUUCUGGCCUCCAGAAUCUCCUCCCUAAGAACGUGGUUUCUCUGAGCAAAUAGAUUUUCCCAAGUGGAGGCAUUACUGCCAGUUUCCCAAGGGCUCACAUAAUGUGCUAUGUAUGCCUCAAGCCACCGGUUCCAUCAAGCAUUUCAUUAUCCUCCAACGUAUUAUUUUCCAUUUAGUUCUCAAGAGACCGUUUAUUAUCUUCUUAAUAAACCUUAAUUUUUUACAAGCAAUCAUCGAGACCUCAGGCUGGCUCUCCAUAUGGACCCCCUUAGGGAGGGGAAAUGACCUCUCCCAUUUCCAGCUGAGGUAUCUUGCAGACUCCACUUCUCAUCUCUGGGGCUCCUUUGGUCCUUUAUUUUACUUUUGGUCAAUUUCCAGCAAUUCAUUGAAUAGGUUCUUCCACCAAGUUUCUCUGGUUUUAAAUCCUACCCAUCCUGUAAGCUUAAGUUCUCUAUAAUUCAUUCAUUUGCUGUCAAAAAACACGUAUUGAGACCUUUUACAUGUUAGGCACUUUGCCGAGCUCUAGGGAUAUGAAGAUGAAGAAAACACAGGGCAGCAGAGGAGAGAGACAUGACAACCUAGAUUGCCUGUAGAGUCCUUUAUGUCCCAGGGUAAAGGAUAUGCACUUUAUGUGAAGUCAUUCAACCCUCUCACAACCUGGAGUUGGAUAAUAUGAUGAUGCUCACUUCACAGUUGAAGAAACUGAAGCCCAGAGAAGUUAAUUCAGUUGCCUAAGGUUACACAGUUAGGAAAAGUAAGAAAGAGGAUGCCAACCCGGAUAGUUUGGCUGCAAUGUUUGUGCUCUUGGCCAUGCUGCUGUAUUGUGUAAUAAAGUUUUAUGAGAGAGAAGCACUAGGAGGCAGGAAGCCAUGGGUAGUAGGUGACACAAAGGACAGAGUUAUCAAUUCUUCUUGGGAAGGUUGGGGCAUCUUCUUUAGGACAAUGCAUGUGCUAUCAUGCAAGAGAUUGUUAUGAUUCCUUCCUUGCAGGUAAAGGCGCUUGCACUUCUAACCUGUAUACCCCUGGAGGUUAACACAUUGAUACAUUAUUAGUUAGUAACACCUUACAGUAAAUUAGCUUAUCCGAUGGAUGCUCUUCUUGAGCAUCAGAAGAGCUCAGCCUUGACAAGGAGAGUAGGGGAGAGAGGAUGGAAGAAAGAAAAUGUCUAGAGCAUGACGGGCACAGGGCAAAGGGAGUGACUGGAUGGGAGAGCCACAGCUACUGGGAGGAGGGUGGGCUCUGGGCAACUGGAGACCUGAUAUUCAAUGCCAACCUAUACAAGGAAGCGGAAAGUGAGGUAGCUGGAAGACUCUAAAAAUGAGCUUCACUUCUCAACUUCCUAAUCCCAGCUUAGAUGUCCUACCUGGUGCUUUGGUCUCAUUCACUGAGUACGGAUGCAAAGACCCCCAGGAGAGAAAAUGAGGGAUGCAGUGCUAAUAAGGAUAAAGCCUGUGGAAAAAAGUAAAAGAAACU